rnacentral:rRNA from 1 species
GACGAACGCUGGCGGCGUGCUUUAGGCAUGCAAGUCGAACGCGAAAGCCCCUUCGGGGGUGAGUAGAGUGGCGAACGGGUGAGUAACACGUGGUAACCUGCCCCUCGCAGGGGGAUAACCGGGGGAAACCCCGGCUAAUACCCCGUACGCUUGCUGGGGCGCAUGCUCCGGCAAGGAAAGGUAGCUUCGGCCAUCCGGCGAGGGAGGGGCCCGCGGCCCAUUAGCUAGUUGGUGGGGUAACGGCCCACCAAGGCGACGAUGGGUAGCUGGCCUGAGAGGGUGGUCAGCCACACUGGGACUGAGACACGGCCCAGACUCCUACGGGAGGCAGCAGCCAGGAAUCUUGCGCAAUGGGCGAAAGCCUGACGCAGCAACGCCGCGUGGGCGAUGAAGGCCUUCGGGUCGUAAAGCCCUGUUGUCGGGGACGAAGGGCGAAGGGUUAAUAGCCCCUAGCCUGACGGUACCCGACGAGGAAGCCCCGGCUAACUACGUG